GGUGGGGGGGGGGGGGGGGCCUGGCCGGGGGGGGUCGGGCGGGGGGGCCGUGGGGGGGGGGUCGGACGGGGGGGGAGUGGCGGACGGGGGGGGACUCAAGCGGAAUCUACUUUUGCGUGUGGGCAAGGGUAGGGAACCGUACGCUCAGACCGCCUCGGACCUACGGGUGAAGGCCGUGUACCUUCGGCCCUUGCGCUCUUGACUGACCCGAUGUCGGGUUAGCUAGUUGGCGGGGUAAAGGCCGACCAAGGCGACGAUCCGUCGCUGGUCUGAGAGGCUGAUCAGCCACACUGGAACUGAGACACGGUCCAGACUCCUACGGGAGGCAGCAGUGGGGAAUAUUGGACAAUGGGCGCAAGCCUGAUCCAGCCAUACCGCGUGGGUGAAGAAGACCUUCGGGUUGUAAAGCCCUUUUGUUGGGAAAGAAAAGCAGCAGGUUAAUACCCCGCUGUUCUGACGGUACCCAAAGAAUAAGCACCGGCUAACUUCGUG
rnacentral:rRNA from 1 species